GAUGAACGCUAGCGGGAGGCUUAACACAUGCAAGUCGAGGGGUAUAGUAGCAAUACUAGAGACCGGCGCACGGGUGAGUAACGCGUAUGCAACCUGCCCUUUACAGGAGGAUAGCCCGCUGAAAGGCGGAUUAAUACUGCAUAAUAUGGUACAAUCGCAUGGUUGAACCAUAAAAGCUGAGGCGGUAAAGGAUGGGCAUGCGUGACAUUAGCUAGUUGGCGGGGUAACGGCCCACCAAGGCUACGAUGUCUAGGGGUUCUGAGAGGAAGGUCCCCCACACUGGUACUGAGACACGGACCAGACUCCUACGGGAGGCAGCAGUGAGGAAUAUUGGUCAAUGGGCGCGAGCCUGAACCAGCCAUCCCGCGUGCAGGAAGACGGCCCUAUGGGUUGUAAACUGCUUUUGUGCAGGAAGAACGUACAGAUCGUGAUUUGUAGUGACGGUACUGCAUGAAUAAGCACCGGCUAACUCCGUGCCAGCAGCCGCCGUAA
rnacentral:rRNA from 1 species